rnacentral:lncRNA from 1 species
CAGAGCUCUGAAACCGUUCCACUGUUGCCGGGUGUAUCUGGUAAAUAAUUACAAAUAAUUACACAAAUCCUUGGUACAAUUGAUUCUUGUCAAAAGCUAAAGAUUAUUUUGGUGUUUGGCACCAGGCUACAUAGCUGCUGUUGGCAGAAGUGAUGUUCAGAUAAGUUGUUUGUAUGUCAUCAGAGAACAAUGAGGCUCAUGGAGAUGAGGAGAUGACAAAUAAUGGAGGCGUAAAGCCCCCUGAAGUUAAGACAGAUUCAUCACGUGAAGGGAACCCAACAGCAAAUGGCCCGGGGUCCACAGCUGAAGGAGGUGGGAACUACUUAACACUGUUGCAUUGGCAUUCAGAAUGGUUUACGUGUUUACUGUUUCAGUUUCAGUGGUAUAUGCAGCAUUCAAUCAAUAUCUCAUCAUACUGUAUAGAUGUUAUACACACAGACCAUUUGAUUCUUGUCAAUACCUUAAGAUUAUUUUGGUGUUCGGCACCAGGCUACAUAGCUGCUAUUGUCAGAAGUGAUGUUCAGAUCAGUUGUUUGUAUGUCAUCAGAGCCCAACGAGCAUGACAGAGGGGAGGAAGAGCAACAACUGCCAAACACUGGUAUGAAAGACAACAAAGGAACCUGAAUAUUUGCAUAGUAAUAAUAAAACAAAUCCAUGGUACA